AACGAACGCUGGCGGCAUGCCUAACACAUGCAAGUCGAACGAGACCUUCGGGUCUAGUGGCGCACGGGUGCGUAACGCGUGGGAACCUGCCCUUAGGUUCGGAAUAACUCCCCGAAAGGGGUGCUAAUACCGGAUAAUGUCUUCGGACCAAAGAUUUAUCGCCUUUGGAUGGGCCCGCGUUGGAUUAGCUAGUUGGUAGGGUAAAAGCCUACCAAGGCGACGAUCCAUAGCUGGUCUGAGAGGAUGAUCAGCCACACUGGGACUGAGACACGGCCCAGACUCCUACGGGAAGCAGCAGUGGGGAAUAUUGGGCAAUGGGCGAAAGCCUGAUCCAGCAAUGCCGCGUGAGUGAUGAAGGCCUUAGGGUUGUAAAGCUCUUUUACCCGGGAUGAUAAUGACAGUACCGGGAGAAUGAGCUCCGGCUAACUCCGUG
rnacentral:rRNA from 1 species